rnacentral:rRNA from 1 species
GACGAACGCUGGCGGCGUGCUUAACACAUGCAAGUAGAACGGAGUGGCGAACGGGUGAGUAACACGUGGGUGACCUGCCCUGCACUUCGGGAUAAGCCUGGGCAACUGGGUCUAAUACCGGAUAGUGUGGGAUGGGCCCGCGGCAUAUCAGCUUGUUGGUGGGGUAAUGGCCUACCAAGGCGGCGACGGGUAGCCGGCCUGAGAGGGUGGACGGUCACAUUGGGACUGGAUCACUGACCAGACUAUCACGUGAGGUAGCAGUGGGUAAUAUUGCUCAAGGGGCGGAAGCGUGAUGAAGAGAUGCCGCGUGGGCGAUGAAGGCCUUCGGGUUGUAAACCCCUUUCACCAGAGAUGCGGAUGAGGAAGAACAAGCACCGGCUAACUACGUGCCAGCAGCCGCGGUAAUAC